rnacentral:rRNA from 1 species
CAAGUCGAACGCGAAAGCCCCGCAAGGGGUAAGUAGAGUGGCAAACGGGUGAGUAACACGUGGGUGACCUACCUUCGAGUGGGGGAUAACGUCCCGAAAGGGACGCUAAUACCGCAUGACAUCCUGCGUUUGGAAACGCGGAGAUCAAAGCCGGGGAUCGCAAGACCUGGCGCUUGACGAGGGGCCCGCGCCUGAUUAGCUAGUUGGUGGGGUAACGGCCUACCAAGGCAACGAUCAGUAUCCGGCCUGAGAGGGCGGACGGACACACUGGGACUGAGACACGGCCCAGACUCCUACGGGAGGCAGCAGUGGGGAAUUGUUCGCAAUGGGCGCAAGCCUGACGACGCAACGCCGCGUGGAGGACGAAGAUCUUCGGGUCGUAAACUCCUGUCGAGCGGGAAGAACGCUUCCCGGGUGAAUAAUCCGGGGAAUUGACGGUACCGCUAAAGGAAGCCCCGGCUAACUCCGUGCCAGCAGCCGCGGUAAUACGGGGGGGGCAAGCGUUGUUCGGAAUUACUGGGCGUAAAGGGCUCGUAGGCGGCCAACUAAGUCGGAUGUGAAAUCCCCAGGCUUAACCUGGGAACUGCAUCCGAUACUGGAUGGCUUGAAUCCGGGAGAGGGAUGCAGAAUUCCAGGUGUAGCGGUGAAAUGCGUAGAUAUCUGGAGGAAUACCGGUGGCGAAGGCGGCAUCCUGGACCGGCAUUGACGCUGAUGAGCGAAAGCUAGGGGAGCAAACGGGAUUAGAUACCCCGGUAGUCCUAGCCCUAAACGAUGAAUGCUUGGUGUGGCGGGUAUCGAUCCCUGCCGUGCCGAAGCUAACGCAUUAAGCAUUCCGCCUGGGGAGUACGGUCGCAAGGCUGAAACUCAA